rnacentral:tRNA from 1 species
GGAUAGCUCAGUUGGUUAGAGCAUGGUGCUAAUAACCCCAAGGUUGCAGGUUUGAUCCCCGUAUGGAAUAGCUGCA